rnacentral:rRNA from 1 species
UACAGAGGUGGCAAGCGUUGUUCGGAAUUACUGGGCGUAAAGGGCGCGUAGGCGGUUCGAUAAGUCCCGUGUGAAAUCCCUCGGCUCAACUGAGGAACUGCACGGGAAACUGACGGGCUUGAGUUCGGGAGAGGGAAGCGGAAUUCCGGGUGUAGCGGUGAAAUGCGUAGAUAUCCGGAGGAACACCGGUGGCGAAGGCGGCUUCCUGGACCGACACUGACGCUGAGGCACGAAAGCGUGGGGAGCAAACAGG